rnacentral:RNase_MRP_RNA from 1 species
UUUGGUGGAGAAAGGAGCGCUUCGGUCCAUUAGGGCUGAGUGAAAGUCCCCGAGCUUGGUGCUUUGUGACACCAAAUGGCAGAGAGUGCCACCUCGAAAGAGGAGAAGCCCGGUUGAGGCCACUGUGGUGUCUCGCCAUGGCCGGGUUAGCUGGCUAUAGUCCCAGUAAUGCGCUUACACACGCGUGUACAACAGAACGGGGCUUACUAUCUCCACCAA